AUUGAAACAAAGGUUCUUGUGCGAUCACCGAAGUUAAGCAGCAUCGAGCCUGGUCAGUAACUAGGCGGUUGACCGCUUGGGAACACCAGGUGCUGUAA